UACGAAGGGAGCGAGCGUUGUUCGGAAUCACUGGGCUUAAAGCGUGUGUAGGCGGAUGUCUAAGUACCUUGUGAAAUCCCACGGCUCAACCGUGGAACUGCUUGGUAUACUGGAUGUCUUGAGCCAUCUAGGGGCUACCGGAACAAAUGGUGGAGCGGUGAAAUGCGUAGAUAUCAUUUGGAACGCCAAUGGUGAAAACAGGUAGCUGGGGAUGUGCUGACGCUGAGACACGAAAGCCAGGGGAGCAAACGGG
rnacentral:rRNA from 1 species